UUGGGAAUCUUGGACAAUGGGGGAAACCCUGAUCCAGCCAUGCCGCGUGAGUGAUGAAGGCCUUCGGGUUGUAAAACUCUUUCGACGGGGACGAUAAUGACGGUACCCGUAGAAGAAGCUCCGGCUAACUUCGUGCCAGCAGCCGCGGUAAUACGAAGGGGGCUAGCGUUGUUCGGAAUUACUGGGCGUAAAGCGCGCGCAGGCGGUCUUCCAAGUCAGUGGUGAAAGCCCGGAGCUCAACUCCGGAACUGCCAUUGAAACUGUGAGACUUGAGGAUGAGAGAGGUGAGUGGAAUUCCCAGUGUAGAGGUGAAAUUCGUAGAUAUUGGGAAGAACACCGGUGGCGAAGGCGGCUCACUGGCUCAUUUCUGACGCUCAGGCGCGACAGCGUGGGGAUCAAAC
rnacentral:rRNA from 1 species